UUUAUUUUUUUAAAUAGGCUCUCACUAUGUAGUUCUUGUUGGCCUUGAACUCACAGAGAUCCACCGCCUCUGCUUCUUCGAUACUGGAAUAAAGGCCUGCGCCACUAACUGCAUCCAGCAUCUUCAAAGUUUUAACAGCAUCAGGCUGGACAGCCAGACUGGUCCAUCUUCACAAGGAAGACGUCCUUGUCUGUCUUCUAAGCCAGUACCCCACACCCUUUUCCAUGCCCCAUUAGUUUAUGAUUCUGCCCUCAGUUAUUGCAUCUGUAAGAGGUGGCUUAACACAUCAGAGUCACCUGAGGGUCCGAUUCUGCUACCUGGGAGGAGCCUGAGAGACUGACCUUUUAGCCAGUUGCCAGUGGGAUCCAAAAUGCCGAGCAACAGGCAGUUGUGAUGUUUCACUUUCUAGAGAACGCACUUAUAAAGCAAAACAAAACCCAGGGUCUCCUCUAGCCUACACUGGUUUUAAACUCACGAGGCUUCCUGAGCCCCUGACCUCUUCUUCCCAAUUGAGGGGAUUUCUGUCAAAAGCUCCCAUCCCCAGUUGAGAGGGUUGUUUUUUGUUGUUGUUGUUGUUUGUUUGUUUUGUUUUUAAAGAUGGGCGGAAACUGAGGAUUAUUUAUUUAUGUGUAGAGGUAAAUGAUUCAGCAAAGGGAAACCCGUGCAGGAGUGGUGGUAUUGAGGGUGGAUGAACCAGGGGCAGGGAGUGCUGGCCUGGGAGUGUUCGCCUGAGAUAGGAGCCCAGGUGCUUUAUCCCAGACCGCAGUGCAGAAAAGCAGAAUUGGGACAAAUUGACACAUCCCGUGAUCAUCAACUGCUACUCUCCUAAGAUGUUUGCCAGACCGCCUCUCUGCCUCUCACUGUGCCCUCUGUGAGGAAGAUAAGCCCCAGACAAGGGAUUUGGGAGAGGUACACCCUCGGCUGAGGACCCGAGAGGCCAUGGCAGACAGAACUCCACUACUUGCUUCUGCAAAGAAAUCGCCCUUGUCUCUUUCUGUUCCCCUUUGCAGUGGAUUCCAAGCACUGCAAUGUCCCCGAUUUCUCGGAACCCUCACAUCACCCCUGAGACUAGCCAGUCAGAGAAAACUGUGAGGUCAGACCCCAGCCGACACGGGAAAGACAAGGUCACCACCUGAGUUAGAAUCAAAACCAAAGGUACCUCCUGUUUCUCUGUGUUCAAUCUUCAUUGUGCACCCACUUGGUCAAGAGUAAAGCUUGAAGCUGGGCAUGAUGGCUUGUGCUUUCAGCCCAGCACUUGGGAGGCAGAGGCAGGCGGAUCUCGGAG